UAAAGCGUGACAGCAGAUUUUGUCGUCACAAUUAUUAUGUGCUAAGUGAAUAUAUUUUUCAAACCACCAAAAACAUACUAUGCGCCCCGUUUUCGUAUACAAAAGAAUCCCCCAAUACUUCAAAAAUGUAAAAAGAAUUGUUUGGUAUAUAUAUUACACAUUCUGAAGAUACGAUGAGUAACAAUGAAGCAAUUGUCAACUGCUUCGAAAGUUAUUUGGAUGAUCUAGUGGAUAGUUUCCAAGAUUUCAUUCAAAAAUCUUUACUUCUGAUUACUAUAGGUAUUGGGAGUCUGAUUGGACUCCUCCUAUAUUUCAUUAAAAGUUGUAAUCGGGAAAAUUUGACGGGUUUGAACACACUGGACGCACUAGACACACCCACCACGAUCACCUCAUCAAAUCGUAGUAAUACCACUGUAUCGAAUGAAUACAAUGACGAAAAAAAUGAAUUAAUAAACAAAGGCGAAAAUACAAUAAGGAACAGGUGCUGCAGCAGCGCUUGUGGAAAGUCAAGUGCUAGCAUGUUAACCAAAUUGUUGAGUACGACAAAGAAAGAAACAAAUAAUAUGGGAGUAGCCUGUCCACCGGCAGACGAAUCGUUGGAACCUAUGAUAUUAAAGAAGGCAAAGCACAAUGAAGGACUUUCUAUUUUCAGAGCUGUAUAUCGAGAUUUCGUGGCUCUUCUAAUCCUAGAAUCACUCUUCCCAGUUUACCGUCCUGUCCUUCGACGCCAUGUGUUAUGCCUAAUAUAACUAGAAGUUGCUGUUCGUUGUGUUGUGAGCAAACCUAAUUCGACCGUCAAAAACAUUGCAUAUACUCGUAAUAAAAAGUUUUGGGUCAUAUAAAUUAUUGUGGACAUUAAAUACCCCAAGAACUCAUUUAAAAAUUAAGUAGAUAAUAAUGCAAUGUGGACUAUAUCAGUUGUGACCGUAAGUAUUCUACGAAGAUUGAUUCAAAAUUUAUGUGAUUUGUUUGAGGGUGCGCAUAGAAUGUUAUUAUAACUGUUUUGUUUUGUUAUAAUAUUAUUAUUGAAAUUAUUUUAUAAUGUCUUGUAAGUACUUGUUAAUAAAGGA